rnacentral:tRNA from 1 species
GGAUUGAUACUCAAGUUGGUGAAGAGGGCACCCUGCUAAGGUGUUAGGUCGGCAACGGCGCGAGAGUUCGAGUCUCUCUCAAUCCGCCA